CAAGUGUAUUCUAGACUGAUAGAUUCCGUGUUAGAGAUUCAAUAAAUCAAGCUGAAUUCUCUUAUUUGAUCAUUUGAGAUUUUGUAUUUUGUAAGAUUUUUGUUAAAUGGGAGAUAUGAAUAUGUCUAACAACUACGAUAACUGGAAGAGACUCGUGGAUGCUGUGCUUCGAAGAGAACGAGAUCGAGAAGUUGCUUUAGCUGACUUGAGGGAAUCAAGUUUCAGAUCCAUAUCCUUUAGCUUUAUAUUCGGACCCGAUUCUUCGUUUCAUGAGCAGAAUCCUCAACUUGAAGCUUAUAAUUCCAAUAAUGUAAAUUUGCUUGGAGACGAAAUG
rnacentral:lncRNA from 1 species